UACGAAGGGGGCGAGCAUUGUUCGGAAUUACUGGGCGUAAAGGGUGCGUAGGCGGAUUUGCGCGUCAGAUGUGAAAGCCCAGGGCUUAACCCUGGAAUUGCAUUUGAUACGGCAAGUCUAGAAUUGUGGAGAGGAGCGUGGAAUUCCCAGUGUAGAGGUGAAAUUCGUAGAUAUUGGGAGGAACACCAGUGGCGUAGGCGACGCUCUGGCCAACAAUUGACGCUGAGGCACGAAAGUGUGGGGAGCAAACAGG
rnacentral:rRNA from 1 species